rnacentral:rRNA from 1 species
AAAUUGAAGAGUUUGAUCAUGGCUCAGAUUGAACGCUGGCGGCAGGCCUAACACAUGCAAGUCGAACGGUAACAGGAAGCAGCUUGCUGCUUCGCUGACGAGUGGCGGACGGGUGAGUAAUGUCUGGGAAACUGCCUGAUGGAGGGGGGUAACUACUGGAAACGGUAGCUAAUACCGCAUAAUGUCGCAAGACCAAAGAGGGGGACC